GGCUUAACACAUGCAAGUCGAGGGGCAGCAUGAUCAAAGCUUGCUUUGAUUGAUGGCGACCGGCGCACGGGUGAGUAACGCGUAUCCAACCUUCCCCUUAGUAGGGCAUAGCCCGUAGAAAUGCGGAUUAAUACCCUAUGUUGUUCGAUGCGGACAUCUAAGUUGAACCAAAGGUUUACCGCUAAGGGAUGGGGAUGCGUCCGAUUAGGCAGCAGGCGGGGUAACGGCCCACCUGGCCGACGAUCGGUAGGGGUUCUGAGAGGAAGGUCCCCCACAUUGGAACUGAGACACGGUCCAAACUCCUACGGGAGGCAGCAGUGAGGAAUAUUGGUCAAUGGCCGGAAGGCUGAACCAGCCAAGUAGCGUGCAGGAUGACGGCCCUAUGGGUUGUAAACUGCUUUUGUACGGGAAUAACGGUCGUCACGCGUGAUGAUGUGCAUGUACCGUACGAAUAAGGAUCGGCUAACUCCGUGCCAGCAGCCGCGGUAAUACGGAGGAUCCGAGCGUUAUCCGGAUUUAUUGGGUUUAAAGGGAGCGUAGGCGGAGGAUCAAGUCAGCUGUGAAAUGUAGGCGCUCAACGCCUGCACUGCAGUUGAAACUGGUUCCCUUGAGUGCGUAAGAGGCAGGCGGAAUUCGUCGUGUAGCGGUGAAAUGCUUAGAUAUGACGAAGAACUCCGAUCGCGAAGGCAGCUUGCCGGGCCGCAACUGACGCUGAAGCUCGAAGGUGCGGGUAUCGAACAGGAUUAGAUACCCUGGUAGUCCGCACAGUAAACGAUGGAUACUCGCUGUCGGCGAUAUACGGUCGGUGGCCAAGCGAAAGCGUUAAGUAUCCCACCUGGGGAGUACGCCGGCAACGGUGAAACUCAAAGGAAUUGACGGGGGCCCGCACAAGCGGAGGAACAUGUGGUUUAAUUCGAUGAUACGCGAGGAACCUUACCCGGGCUUGAAUUGCUAGAGACGGUUACUGGAGACAGUUUCCUUCCUUCGGGACUCUAGUGAAGUGCUGCAUGGUUGUCGUCAGCUCGUGCCGUAAGUGUCGGCUCAAGUGCAUAACGAGCGCAACCUGUCGUAAUUGCAUCAGUCAUGCUGGCACUCUAUCGGGACUGCCUCGUAGAAGUAGGAAAGGGGGAUGACGUCAAUCACACGGCCUUAGUUCUGGCUCCACUGUUCAAUGGGGGUACGAGGGAGACACUGGUAAGGGCGGAUCCGAAUCAUCAAUCGAUCGGAUUGACGAAUCUGACGGAUCUGAACGCUACAUGCGUAUAGAUUCGCUGUAACUCUCUGACGUGAACCGGGCGUAUCG
rnacentral:rRNA from 1 species